rnacentral:tRNA from 1 species
GGUAGGGUGCCCGAGCGGUUGAAGGGGCCGGUCCUGAAAACCGGUGUCCCGAUGACAUCGGGACCGUGGGUUCGAAUCCCACCCCUACCG